AGUGAUUGUAGCUGUUGUCCAGCUGUCAUCGAGCUGGACAUUGUCAGUUAGUUAGUGGGAGGCAACACCUACAUCUUAGUGCUAGCUUAGAUAUCCUUCUAGAUGAUUCUUGUAUUACAUACACAAGUAAUACAAGAAAGCUAAGCUUUGUAUUUCCACAAAUUAGCGGGAUCUCUUUUCAUCUCUCUGAUAUUACUCCCUAUCAUCAAAGCUUCCAUUGACACAGUUCUCUGAGCUUGAGCUACUGCAUCUUUACAUGGUAUCAGGCCACCAUCGGUUCUGAGGUGCUUAUUCUUUUAAUUACUAUUUUGCGAUCUAAAAUUGGCGAGGUAUUUCUCGUUGCUCGAUAUUCGCUGUUGUUAUCGAUCUCAGUUCUUCAUCUUCCCUUGUUGCUCGAUAUUAACUAUUGUUAUCGAUCUAAAUUUGCUCGUUUUUCUUUGUUGUUAAUUUGCUUUCAAGUUGCUCAAUUUUAUUAUCGAAUUAUUGAAUUGUUGAAAAAAUGAUUCUUACUGCGGAAUCUACAUUAUUGAGUGAAUCAAGUAGUUUCAUAAUUACUUCGAAUAACCCUUUGUAUAUGCAUCCCCCUGAUAAUCCUGGGGCAUCACUGGUGCCGGUGUCUUUUACUAGAGUUGGAUAUCGUUCAUGGAGAAGAAGUGUUUUACGUUUCUUGUCGGUGAAAAAUAUGUUAGGCUUUAUCAACAAAGAAUGUAUGAGGCUCAGAGCUGAUCACCCAAUGUAUAGACAGCUGGAGAUGUGAUGACAUUGUUACUUCAUGGAUUUUAAAUUCUUUGCAAAAUUGCAGAUAGUGUCGAGUAUGUUGUAGAAUCUGCAGAACUUUGGAGAGAAUUGGAGGACAAAUAUGAACAAACAAAUGGUGCAAAAUUUUAUCAGAUACAAAAGGAAAUCAAUGAUCUGUCUCAGGGAUCUCUUGAUAUCACUGGGUACUAUACCAAGAUGAAGAAACUUUGGGAAAAACGUAACACACUGAGUACAAUGGUUCAGUGCUCCUGUGAUUGCACUUGUGGAGCCAAAGUUAAUAUUCACAAAGUAGAACAUGAUAAACAAUUGAUUCAUUUUUUAAUGGGAUUGAAUGAGGUGUAUACGGUGAUACGAGGUAUCAUACUUAUGAUGAAUCCUUCACCUUCUAUGACACAAGCUUUUUCUCUUUUGGUACAAGAUGAGCAACAAAGGGAAAUUAAGCCAUCUAAUCAUCUCACCAUGGAGUAUACUGCUUUGCAUGUCAGUAUCAACAGAUCUUUAAGCUAUAAAACAAACUAUGCACCAAAUAGUCACUCAGGUUCACUUCAAUAGAAAGAGAAGUUUUGUGACUACUGCAAGAGAAUUGAUCAUUUUAAGGAGAAAUGUUUCUUGUUUUAUGGUUAUUUAUACUCCUGGAUCAAACACCAAUAAUCAAAAUCAAAAUCCUAAUCAAGGUUACAACAUACAGAAUAAAAAUCAUUAUAACCAGAGAAACAACAGCUUCCAACAUUCAAGGCCUAAAAAUUUUAGAGGAUCAACUAGAUAUAAUCAUCAGAAUCAGGAUCAAACAAAUAGACACCACAAAGGGAAUGACAAUAUAACAGUGGCAAAUGUUCAUUGUGAAACAGAGCCAGGACCUAAAAAAGAGGUUACAGAUGCCUAUGCAGAUGAGAAAAUGUAUAAUCUGAAGCUUACUAAGGAUCAGUCUGAUAGUGUUCAAGAUAUGCUGUAGAAUUUUCAGAAGGAGCAUAGUGAUUAUGAUAGUGUUCAAGAUACGCUGUAGAAUUUUCAGGACCAUGGUGAUGACAAGUCUGCCAGUCUCUUCAGCGGAGCAAUCAAUUUUGCAGGCGAUACCCACUGAAAACAGGCGAACAGCUUCGCCGUCGAUGUUGGAGCCCCGGUGAAGAUGUCAGCUCUGCCGCCCACCGAAAAACCAUAAAAAACGGCGACAAAUUGCAAAGAAGGCGUGGGUUUCGCCUCUCUUGCGCAAUUAUUGGUUCGUGUUGGCCAAAAACAGUAAAGGGUAUAUCAAAAUUAGACUGUUUUCGUUGUUUGGGUCGGGGUAUAUCAAAGUUGGACUAGUUUCGUUGUUGGGGUCUGAUUCGAGAUUCUUCGGUGCGGAUCCUAGCUUUUGGAUUGAGUGAUAAUUGAUUUUAAUCAUCAAUUGAGGGCCCUCCAAUGAAGAGACCUCUGGUGAUUGGUAGAGUAGAGGCUGGUCUAUACUUCCUUUGUCCAAAGUGUCUGCAGCAUCAACAUUCCACUCCUACAUUAUCUACUUGUUCUAAUUUACCUUUAUCAAAUUCAUGUAGUAAUAAAUCUCCCUCUCAUACAUUUACUGAUAAUCUACACCUGCAGAACCGACAAUGUAUUUCUUAUUCCAAUAAGCAUACACCUUGUUUGAAUAAAACUAGUACUUCUAUAAAUGUAUCAUAUGUUCCUUCUUUAUCUAUUUUGCUUGCAUGUACAAUAAAUGAUGUAAAUAUUUUGUGGCACACUCGAUUAAGACAUGUUUAUUUUCUCAAGAUGAAAGCAAUCUCUACUAUCCCUGUAAAGUUUUCCCCAUACAACCUUUCAUGUGUAUU